rnacentral:rRNA from 1 species
UACGUAGGGUCCGAGCGUUGUCCGGAGUUACUGGGCGUAAAGGGCGCGUAGGCGGCCUGCUAAGUCGAACGUGAAAUCCCUGGGCUCAACCCAGGAACUGCGUCCGAUACUGGUUGGCUUGAAUCCGGGAGAGGGAUGUGGAAUUCCAGGUGUAGCGGUGAAAUGCGUAGAUAUCUGGAGGAACACCGGUGGCGAAGGCGACAUCCUGGACCGGUAUUGACGCUGAGGCGCGAAAGCCAGGGGAGCAAACGGG